UACUGUGGACUGGCAGCCAACCUUUUUUCAUACUGAGUAUAAAAAAGGGUUGGCUGCCUGCCCACAGUAUGCCGGUCACUGCUGGUCCGCAGUUUGCCAGUGUGGCUGCUAACCCUCCUCUGGACC